UAUACCAUAUUUUACUUCUUUACUCUCCCUCAUUAAUUACUUAUUUCUCAACUCCCCCUCAUUAUAGCAAAUAUAAAUGAUAUACCAAUUUGCUCAUCUAAAAGAUAUUACAAUUUAUAGUAUUUCACAGCACAAAUAUGAUUUAAUUUGAUUUGAUUCCAAUCAUAAACAUUCAUUGAAAGUCAAAGCAUAUAUAUAUAUAUAUAUA
rnacentral:lncRNA from 1 species